rnacentral:rRNA from 1 species
UACGUAGGGUGCAAGCGUUGUCCGGAAUUAUUGGGCGUAAAGAGCUCGUAGGCGGCUUGUCGCGUCGGCUGUGAAAACCUGGGGCUCAACCCCGGGCCUGCAGCCGAUACGGGCAAGCUAGAAUUCGGUAGGGGAGACUGGAAUUCCUGGUGUAGCAGUGAAAUGCGUAGAGAUCAUGAGGAAGACCAGUGGCGAAGGCGGGUCUCUGGACAGUUCCUGACACUGAGGCACGAAGGCCAGGGGAGCAAACGGG